AAGUCGUAACAAGGUUUCCGUAGGUGAACCUGCGGAAGGAUCAUUACUGAGUUGUCGACACGAGUUGUUGCUGGUCCUCAAACGAGGGCAUGUGCACGCUCUGUUCACACAUCCACUCACACCUGUGCACCCUCUGUAGUUCUAUGGUCUGGGAGGCGCACCGUCUUCCUCCUGUGGUUCUAUGUCUCUACACACACACCGUAGCAAAGUCUUAUGGAAUGUUUGCCUGCGUUUAACGCAAUACAAUACAACUUUCAGCAACGGAUCUCUUGGCUCUCGCAUCGGUGAAGAACGCAGCGAAAUGCGAUAAGUAAUGUGAAUUGCAGAAUUCAGUGAAUCAUCGAAUCUUUGAACGCACCUUGCGCCCUUUGGCUAUUCCGAAGGGCAUGCCUGUUUGAGUAUCAUGUACACCUCAACUCUCACGGUUCGCCGCGAUGAGCUUGGACUUGGGGGUUUUGCUGGCAUGCAGCCGGCUCCUCUCAAAUGAAUCAGCUUACCAGUCUUUGGUGGCGUCACGGGUGUGAUAACUAUCUACGCUUGUGGGUCGUCUGCCGGGUAACCUUCAGCGAUGGAGGUUUGCUGGAGCUUAUAAAUGUCUCUCCUCGGCGAGGACAAAUUUUGAACGUUCGAUCUCAAAUCAGGUAGGACUACCCGCUGAACUUAAGCAUAUCAAUAAGCGGAGGAAAAGAAACUAACAAGGAUUCCCCUAGUAACUGCGAGUGAAGCGGGAAGAGCUCAAAUUUAAAAUCUGGCUGCCUCUGGUUGCCCGAGUUGUAGUCUGGAGAAGCGUUUUCCGUGUUGGACCGUGUAUAAGUCUCUUGGAACAGGGCGUCAUAGAGGGUGAGAAUCCCGUCNNGACACGGACUACUAAUGCUUUGUGAUGCGCUCUCAAAGAGUCGAGUUGUUUGGGAAUGCAGCUCAAAAUGGGUGGUAAAUUUCAUCUAAAGCUAAAUAUAGGCGAGAGACCGAUAGCGAACAAGUACCGUGAGGGAAAGAUGAAAAGCACUUUGGAAAGAGAGUUAAACAGUACGUGAAAUUGCUGAAAGGGAAACGCUUGAAGUCAGUCGUGUCCGCCAGGACUCAGCCUUGCUCCUGCUUGGUGUACUUUCUGGUCGGAUGGGCCAACAUCAAUUUCGAUCGUCGGAGAAAGGCUUUGGGAAUGUGGCACCUUCGGGUGUGUUAUAGCCCUUUGUCGUAUACGACGGUUGGGAUUGAGGACUGCAGCACGCCUUUAUGGCCGGGGUUCGCCCACGUACGUGCUUAGGAUGUUGGCAUAAUGGCUUUAAGCGACC
rnacentral:rRNA from 1 species